rnacentral:rRNA from 1 species
UACAGAGGGGGCAAGCGUUAUUCGGAAUUAUUGGGCGUAAAGAGCUCGUAGGCGGUGUGUCGCGUCGGCCGUGAAAACCUGCAGCUUAACUGUGGGCUUGCGGUCGAUACGGGCAUCACUGGAGUUCGGCAGGGGAGACUGGAAUUCCUGGUGUAGCGGUGAAAUGCGCAGAUAUCGGGAGGAACACCAGUAGCGAAGGCGACACUCUGGGCCGGUACUGACGCUGAGGAGCGAAAGCGUGGGGAGCAAACAGG